rnacentral:rRNA from 1 species
ACUCCGAAACGGCAUUGGAAACUACCUUGCUGGAGGGUUGGAGGGGGGACUGGAAUACUUGGUGUAGCAGUGAAAUGCGUAGAUAUCAAGUGGAACACCGGUGGCGAAGGCGAGUCCCUGGACAACACCUGACACUGAGGCACGAAAGCUAGGGGAGCAAACAGGAUUAGAUACCCUGGUAGUCCUAGCCGUAAACGGUGCGUGCUUGCUGUAAAAGGAAUCGACCCCUUUUGUGGCGGAGCUAACGCGUUAAGCACGCCGCCUGGGAAGUACGGUCGCAAGAUUAAAACUCAAAGAAAUUGACGGGGGCCUGCACAAGCGGUGGAGUAUGUGGCUCAAUUCGAUGCAACGCGAAGAACCUUACCUGGCCUUGACAUGCAUAUAGUAGAAGGGUGAAAGCCUGACGAGGUAGCAAUACCAGUAUGCACAGGUGCUG